GAUGAACGCUAGCGGCAGGCCUAACACAUGCAAGUCGAAGGGUAACUAGAGUGAUAGCAAUAUUACUUUGGCUAGACCGGCGCACGGGUGCGUAACACGUAUGCAACCUACCUUAUACUGGGGAAUAACUUCGAGAAAUCGGCGCUAAUACCCCAUAACAUUGCGAAGAGGCCUCUCUUUGCAAUUAAAGAUACGGCGGUAUAAGAUGGGCAUGCGUCCAAUUAGCUAGGUGGUGAGGUAACGGCUCACGAAGGCUACGAUUGGUAGGGGUUCUGAGAGGAUGAUCCCCCACACUGGUACUGAGACACGGACCAGACUCCUACGGGAGACAGCAGUGAGGAAUAUUGCGCAAUGGACGAAAGUCUGACGCAGCCAUGCCGCGUGCAGGAUGACGGCCCUAUGGGUUGUAAACUGCUUUUGUACGGGAAUAAACCCUUCUACGUGUAGGAGGCUGAAGGUACCGUAAGAAUAAGCACCGGCUAACUCCGUGCCAGCCGCCGCGGUAAAAC
rnacentral:rRNA from 1 species